rnacentral:rRNA from 1 species
AUUGAACGCUGGCGGCAUGCCUUACACAUGCAAGUCGAACGGCAGCGCGGGGCAACCUGGCGGCGAGUGGCGAACGGGUGAGUAAUAUAUCGGAACGUGCCCUGGAGUGGGGGAUAACGUAGCGAAAGUUACGCUAAUACCGCAUACGAUCCAAGGAUGAAAGCAGGGGGACCUUCGGGCCUUGUGCUCCUGGAGCGGCCGAUAUCUGAUUAGCUAGUUGGUGGGGUAAAAGCCUACCAAGGCGACGAUCAGUAGCUGGUCUGAGAGGACGACCAGCCACACUGGAACUGAGACACGGUCCAGACUCCUACGGGAGGCAGCAGUGGGGGAAUUUUGGACAAUGGGGGCAACCCUGAUCCAGCAAUGCCGCGUGUGUGAAGAAGGCCUUCGGUUGUAAAGCACUUUGUCAGGAACGAAACGGUCUGGGCUAAUAUCCUGGGCUAAUGACGGUACCUGAAGAAUAAGCACCGGCUAACUACGUGCCAGCAGCCGCGGUAAU